CCUACGGGUGGCAGCAGUGAGGAAUAUUGGUCAAUGGGCUUACGCCUGAACCAGCCAAGUCGCGUGAGGGAAGACUGCCCUAUGGGUUGUAAACCUCUUUUGUCAGGGAGCAAUUGGCGCUACGUGUAGCGUUAUCGAGAGUACCUGAAGAACAAGCAUCGGCUAACUCCGUGCCAGCAGCCGCGGUAAUACGGAGGAUGCGAGCGUUAUCCGGAUUUACUGGGGUUAAAGGGAGCGUAGACGGCUGUGCAAGUCUGAAGUGAAAGCCCGUGGCUCAACCGCGGAACUGCUUUGGAAACUGUAUAGCUUGAGUACUGGAGAGGCAGGCGGAAGUCCUAGUGUAGCGGUGAAAUGCGUAGAUAUUAGGAGGAACACCAGUGGCGAAGGCGGCCUGCUGGACAGAAACUGACGUUGAGGCUCGAAAGCGUGGGGAGCAAACAGGAUUAGAUACCCCUGUAGUC
rnacentral:rRNA from 1 species